rnacentral:misc_RNA from 1 species
UAUCAGGGUAAGAUGACUAAAAGAGUAAAUUUUGCAAUUCACUGUGGAGGGAAGUGGCAGUCUAUAGAUACCAUGGUGUAUGAUGGUGAUGAAGUCAUAUACCACAAUGCCAUUGACAUAGACUAUCAGUUAAUGUUUGAGAUGCUGGGAUAUGCAAAAGAAUUAAAACACAAAAAUGGAGCACAUGUGUGGUUAAAAAUUUAUGGGUUGAUAGGACCAAAAUCUUAUGAAGAGAUAUUGAGUGAUGUGAAACACGGUAGAUUACAAUAGAGGGAAGGGAGAUAUUGAGGUUUACUUUGUAGAAGCAGGCUUACCUAUUAUUGUG